ACUUAUCUAAUACAAUAACAGUAUACUUGACUUCCAAUCAAGAAAUUUGCGAAAGCAAGAUAAGUA
rnacentral:tRNA from 1 species